rnacentral:pre_miRNA from 1 species
UACAACUUUUAUUCCUCAUCAUAUUUAAAUUUUUUCUAUAAUUAGUAUUUUUAUUGUUAUUAGAUGAUAAAACAUGAAUAGUAUUUUAUGCGUGACUAAUUUUUUGAAUUUGUUUAUAACUGCUUCAAAUAGGACGGACGGUCAAACGUUGGACACAGAAACUCA